rnacentral:rRNA from 1 species
CUUACCAAGCCGACGAUCUGUAGCUGGUCUGAGAGGACGACCAGCCACACUGGGACUGAGACACGGUCCAGACUCCUACGGGAGGCAGCAGUGGGGAAUAUUGCACAAUGGGCGCAAGCCUGAUGCAGCCAUGCCGCGUGUAUGAAGAAGGCCUUCGGGUUGUAAAGUACUUUCAGCGGGGAGGAAGGCGUUGAGGUUAAUAACCUCAGCGAUUGACGUUACCCGCAGAAGAAGCACCGGCUAACUCCGUGCCAGCAGCCGCGGUAAUACGGAGGGUGCAAGCGUUAAUCGGAAUUACUGGGCGUAAAGCGCACGCAGGCGGUCUGUCAAGUCGGAUGUGAAAUCCCCGGGCUCAACCUGGGAACUGCAUUCGAAACUGGCAGGCUAGAGUCUUGUAGAGGGGGGUAGAAUUCCAGGUGUAGCGGUGAAAUGCGUAGAGAUCUGGAGNGNANAUACCGGUGGCGAAGGCGGCCCCCUGGACAAAGACUGACGCUCAGGUGCGAAAGCGUGGGGAGCAAACAGGAUUAGAUACCCUGGUAGUCCACGCCGUAAACGAUGUCGACUUGGAGGUUGUGCCCUUGAGGCGUGGCUUCCGGAGCUAACGCGUUAAGUCGACCGCCUGGGGAGUACGGCCGCAANGGUUAAAACUCAAAUGAAUUGACGGGGGCCCGCACAAGCGGUGGAGCAUGUGGUUUAAUUCGAUGCAACGCGAAGAACCUUACCUACUCUUGACAUCCAGAGAACUUUCCAGAGAUGGAUUGGUGCCUUCGGGAACUCUGAGACAGGUGCUGCAUGGCUGUCGUCAGCUCGUGUUGUGAAAUGUUGGGUUAAGUCCCGCAACGAGCGCAACCCUUAUCCUUUGUUGCCAGCGGUCCGGCCGGGAACUCAAAGGAGACUGCCAGUGAUAAACUGGAGGAAGGUGGGGGAUGACGUCAAGUCAUCAUGGCCCUUACGAGUAGGGCUACACACGUGCUACAAUGGCGCAUACAAAGAGAAGCGACCUCGCGAGAGCAAGCGGACCUCAUAAAGUGCGUCGUAGUCCGGAUUGGAGUCUGCAACUCGACUCCAUGAAGUCGGAAUCGCUAGUAAUCGUAGAUCAGAAUGC